GGUCGUCUACGAAUGGUUUGGCACCAGGUUCCCCACGAACGUGCGUUGCGUGACGGGCGUCCUCACCAUU